GUGAGCCAGCCAGGAGUGAAGACGACAGGUUUGCUGUCUCCUUUGCCUGUGGGUCUGGGGCCCCAGCCUGGGGGAGACCCGUGACUCCAGGCAUGCUAUCAGGACAACUUCAACCCGAGGGGAGAUCAGCUCUCCCGCAACCUGGUGCCGCUCUCUGACAGCACAACAGAACCUAAGGGGCUACAGGAUGAUUCAAGGAACAGUGUGCUACAGGACCUCGUCAGAAGAUUUUUUCCUUGAAAGCAUCGAUGGUAAACAUCUGCACGUCAGAGAGUUUCUCAAUAAGACUUGUAAUCCAAAAACAAUCUGAGAAACGUCUUAAUUAAUUUAGAAGUUUAUUUUGCCAAGGUUAAGGACAUGCCUGUGACACCACCUUCAAAUGUCCUGACAACAUGUGCCAAAGGUAGUUGAGAUACAAUUUGCUUUUAUCCAUUUAGGAAGAAAUGAGACAUUAAUCAAUACAUGUAAUAUAUAUAGUGGUUUGGUUCAGAAAAGUAGGACCAUUAGAAAUCUGGGUUCCAGAUUUUAAGUGGAUUGAAAGAUUUUCUUAUUGUCAGUCAUUUGAGUAAAUAUCUGCAAUCAACAGAAAGAAAUGUCUGGGCGAUAAUAAGGGAUUGUGGAUACCAAGGUUUGUCAUGCAAAUAGCCUCCAGGUAUCAGAGAGGCUUCAGAGAAAAUAGAUUGUAAAUGUUUCCUGUCAAACUUAAAAGAUCUGUUCUAUCAGUACCAAGGUCUGUGUUGAUGUUAAUGGUAAUGAGGCAUGUGUGACUCCGCCUUCUCAUUAUGGCCUGAACUAGUUUUUCAGGUUAUCUUUGGAAUGUUUUUGGCUGAGAGGACGUGUAUAUUCAGAUGGUUUGAGGCUUUAUAUUUUAUUUUGUCUUACAAGCUCAUUUCUGGAUAGUCCUGUGCCAUGUGUAGGUAGUGGUGCAUGUGUGUGUGGGGGACAGGGGGCUGUUACUAGAGGGUCAAAGAGAAGUUGUCUCAGUGAGGAAUUUUAAGACCACCAAAAAGCCAAUUGGGAUGAUGAUGUUACAAAUUGGUUAAAUGAAACCCUGUCAAGUCAUUGAUUUACAUACCUGCUGUCACUUUUUAAUCAUUUGUAGCUUUAGUAGUUGUACAUUACUUAGAAUUUUAACUACUACUAUCCUUAACCCAUAGAGAAAACCUAAGAAACACAGUUUUUAACUAUGUGAACCCUGAAUAUCUGAGACAGGGCUCAGUUAAUUUGGAAAACUUAUUUUGCCAAGAUUGUUCUGUUCCAUUGGUCUAUGUAUCUGUUUUGGUACCAGUACCAUGAUGUUUUGCUUACUGUAGCCUUGUAGUAUAGUUUGAAGUCAGGUAGUGUGAUGCCUCUAGCUUUGUUCUUUUUGGUUAGGAUUGUCUUGGCCAUGUAGGCUCUUUUUUGGUUCCAUAUAAAAUUUAAAGUAGUUUUUUCUAAUUCUGUGAAGAAAGUCAAUGGUAGUUUGAUGACAGCAUUGAAUCUAUAAAUAACUUUGGGCAGUAGGACCAUUUUCUGCAUCUAUUGAGAUAAUCAUGUGUUUUCUGUCAUUGGUUCUGUUUAUGUGACAGAUUACAUUUAUUGAUUUGCAUAUGUUGAACCAGCCUUGCAUCCCAGGGAUGAAGCUGACUUGAUUGUGGUGCAUAAACUUUUUCAUGUGCUGCUGAAUUUGGUUUGCCAGUAUUUUAUUGAGAAUUUUCACAUCAAUGUUCAUCAUUCCUUGGUCAUAGAUAUUGGCCUGAAAUUUUCCUUUUUUGUUGUGUCUCUGCCAGAUUUUGGCAUCAGGAUGAUGCUGGCCUCAUAAAUAAUUUUUCCAUUGUUUGUGUCCUCUCAUUUUCUUGAGCAGUGGUUUGUAGUUUUCCCUGAAGAGAUUCUUCACAUCCCUUAUAAGUUGAAUUCCCAGGUAUUUUAUUCCCUUUGCAGCCAUUGUGAAUGGGAGUUCACUCAUGAUUUUGUUCUCUGUUUGUCUAUUAUUGGUGUAUAGGAUUGGUUGUGAUUUUUGCACUUUGGUUUUGUAUUCUGAGACUUUGCUGAGGUUGCUUAUCAGGUUAAAGAGAUUUUGGGCUGAGAUGAUGGAGUUUCUAAAUAUACAGUAUGUCAUCUGCAAACAGACACAAUUUGACUUCCUCUUUUCCUAGCUGAGUACACUUUCUUUCUUUCUCUCGCCUGACUGCCCUGGCCAGAACUUCCAAUACUAUGUUGAAGAGGAGUGGUGAGAGAAGGCCUCCUUGUCUUGUGCCAGUUUUCAAAGGGAAUGCUUCCAGUUUUUGCCCAUUCAUGGCUAUGGAUAUGUG
rnacentral:lncRNA from 1 species